UACAGAGGUCUCAAGCGUUGUUCGGAUUCAUUGGGCGUAAAGCGCACGCAGGUGGCUGAGUCAGUCGAUUGUGAAAGCCCUGGGCUUAACCUGGGAAUUGCAUUGGAGACUGCAAGGCUAGAAUCUGGCAGAGGGGGGUAGAAUUCCACGUGUAGCAGUGAAAUGCGUAGAGAUGUGGAGGAACACCGAUGGCGAAGGCAGCCCCCUGGGUCAAGAUUGACGCUCAUGCACGAAAGCGUGGGGAGCAAACAGG
rnacentral:rRNA from 1 species